UGAGUAACACGUGGGUGAUCUGCCCUGCACUUUGGGAUAAGCCUGGGAAACUGGGUCUAAUACCGAAUAGGACCGCAUGCUUCAUGGUGUGUGGUGGAAAGCUUUUGCGGUGUGGGAUGGGCCCGCGGCCUAUCAGCUUGUUGGUGAGGUAAUGGCUUACCAAGGCGACGACGGGUAGCCGGCCUGAGAGGGUGACCGGCCACACUGGGACUGAGAUACGGCCCAGACUCCUACGGGAGGCAGCAGUGGGGAAUAUUGCACAAUGGGCGCAAGCCUGAUGCAGCGACGCCGCGUGAGGGAUGACGGCCUUCGGGUUGUAAACCUCUUUCGCCAGGGACGAAGCGCAAGUGACGGUACCUGGAGAAGAAGGACCGGCCAACUACGUGCCAGCAGCCGCGGUAAUACGUAGGGUCCGAGCGUUGUCCGGAAUUACUGGGCGUAAAGAGCUCGUAGGUGGUUUGUCG
rnacentral:rRNA from 1 species